rnacentral:rRNA from 1 species
CCUACGGGUGGCAGCAGUGGGGAAUAUUCCACAAUGGGGGAAACCCUGAACCAGCCAAGUCGCGUGCAGGAAGACGGCCCUAUGGAUUGUAAACCUCUUUUGCGGGGGAGCAAAAAGCGGUACGUGUGCCUCAUCGCAAGUACCCCAAGAAAAAGCAUCGGCUAACUCCGUGCCAGCAGCCGCGGUAAUACGGAGGGUACGGGCGUUAUCCGGAUUUAUUGGGUUUAAAGGGUGCGCCGGCGGCGCUGUAAGUCAGCCGUAAAAUUUCGGGGCUCAACCCCGGCAAAGCGGUGGAAACUGGCUGGCUAGAGUGGGCGAGAGGUAGGCGGAAUGCGUGGUGUAGCGGUGAAAUGCAUAGAUAUCACGCAGAACUCCGAUUGCGAAGGCAGCAUACCGGAGCGUAACUGACGCUCAGGCACGAAGGCGUGGGUAUCGAACAGGAUUAGAUACCCCAGUAGUC